rnacentral:rRNA from 1 species
CAGCAGCCACGGUAAUACGUAGGGUGCGAGCGUUAAUCGGAAUUACUGGGCGUAAAGCGUGCGCAGGCGGUUCGUUAAGACAGAUGUGAAAUCCCCGGGCUUAACCUGGGAACUGCAUUUGUGACUGGCGGGCUAGAGUAUGGCAGAGGGGGGUAGAAUUCCACGUGUAGCAGUGAAAUGCGUAGAGAUGUGGAGGAAUACCGAUGGCGAAGGCAGCCCCCUGGGCCAAUACUGACGCUCAUGCACGAAAGCGUGGGGAGCAAACAGGAUUAGAUACCCGUGUAGUCCCUGUCUCUUAUAU